rnacentral:rRNA from 1 species
UACGUAGGGUGCGAGCGUUGUCCGGAAUUCUUGGGCGUAAAGAGCUCGUAGGCGGUCUGUCGCGUCGGUCGUGAAAACUUGGGGCUUAACCCUGAGCUUGCGGUCGAUACGGGCAUGACUGGAGUUCGGCAGGGGAGACUGGAAUUCCUGGUGUAGCGGUGAAAUGCGCAGAUAUCAGGAGGAACACCGGUGGCGAAGGCGGGUCUCUGGGCCGAUACUGACGCUGAGGAGCGAAAGCGUGGGGAGCGAACAGG